rnacentral:rRNA from 1 species
AGAGUUUGAUUCUGGCUCAGGACGAACGCUGGCGGCGUGCCUAACACAUGCAAGUUGAGCGGAGAUAUAUGGAGCUUGCUUUAUAUAACUUAGCAGCGAACGGGUGAGUAACACGUAGAUAAUCUAUCCUAUACUGGGGGAUAGCCCGAUGAAAGUUGGAUUAAUACCGCAUAUAGCUAUAUAGUUGCAUGAUUAUGUAGUGAAAGAUUUAUUGGUAUAGGAGGAGUCUGCGGCACAUUAGCUAGUAGGUGAGGUAAAGGCUUACCUAGGCGACGAUGUGUAGCCGGUCUGAGAGGAUGAACGGCCACAAUGGAACUGAGACACGGUCCAUACUCCUACGGGAGGCAGCAGUGGGGAAUAUUGCACAAUGGGGGAAACCCUGAUGCAGCAACGCCGCGUGAGUGAAGAAGGUUUUCGGAUUGUAAAGCUCUG